CUACGGGAGGCUCCAGUGGGGAAUUUUGCGCAAUGGGGGGAACCCUGACGCAGCAACGCCGCGUGAGUGAUGAAGGCUUUCGGGUCGUAAAGCUCUGUCAAGUGGGAAGAACCUGCAAUAUGUUAAUAUCUUAUUGCACUGACGGUACCACUAAAGGAAGCACCGGCUAACUCCGUGCCAGCAGCCGCGGUAAUACGGGGGGUGCAAGCGUUAUUCGGAAUCAUUGGGCGUAAAGGGCGCGUAGGCGGCUUCUUAAGUCAGAUGUGAAAGCCCGGGGCUUAACCCCGGAAGUGCAUUUGAAAGUAAGAGGCUUGAGUAUGGGAGAGGGAAGUGGAAUUCCUGGUGUAGAGGUGAAAUUCGUAGAUAUCAGGAGGAACAUCGGUGGCGAAGGCGACUUCCUGGACCAAUACUGACGCUGAGGCGCGAAGGCGUGGGGAGCAAACAGGAUUAGAUACCCCCGUAGUC
rnacentral:rRNA from 1 species